UACGUAGGGACCGAGCGUUGUCCGGAAUCAUUGGGCGUAAAGAGCGUGUAGGCGGCCACUUAAGUCCUGCGUGAAAUCUUGCGGCUCAACCGCAAGCGGUCGUGGGAAACUGGGUGGCUAGAGUGCGGGAGAGGAGAGUGGAAUUCCUGGUGUAGCGGUGGAAUGCGCAGAUAUCAGGAGGAACACCGAUGGCGAAGGCAGAUCUCUGGGCCGUAACUGACGCUGAGGAGCGAAAGCAUGGGGAGCGAACAGG
rnacentral:rRNA from 1 species